GAUGAACGCUGGCGGCGUGCCUAAUACAUGCAAGUCGAGCGAACGGACGAGAAGCUUGCUUCUCUGAUGUUAGCGGCGGACGGGUGAGUAACACGUGGAUAACCUACCUAUAAGACUGGGAUAACUUCGGGAAACCGGAGCUAAUACCGGAUAAUAUUUUGAACCGCAUGGUUCAAAAGUGAAAGACGGUCUUGCUGUCACUUAUAGAUGGAUCCGCGCUGCAUUAGCUAGUUGGUAAGGUAACGGCUUACCAAGGCAACGAUGCAUAGCCGACCUGAGAGGGUGAAGGGGCACACUGGCACUGAGACACGGUAGGGACACAUACGGGAGGCAGCAGUAGGGAAUCUUCCGCAAUGGGCGAAAGCAUGAAGGAGCAACGCCGCGUGAGUGAUGAAGGUCUUCGGAUCGUAAAACUCUGUUAUUAGGAAAGAAAAAAAGAGUAAGUAACUGUGCACAUCUUGACGGUACCUAAUCAGAAAGACAGGACUAGCUACGUG
rnacentral:rRNA from 1 species